CGAUCUUCGGGAUAAAACACUGGUCUGAAACUUGGAAAACUAAGCUUCUCAUCACAAACUCCUGCUUUUUCAGCCAAACAGCCACCAGAGGGCAACAUGCUCUCGAGCACAUCAGGAGAGCGAUGGCAUCUGUUUGAUGUUAUUCAUGCGAAGAUGUUUUGCACAGAGGGAGGAAAAAAAUGUUCACCUGUUCAAAAAGCUGCCACCAGGAUGUAGAAACAAGCGAAGAUUCUUUCUCUCAUCGCCGUAUUAUUUUCCUGAACACACUGUAAUUUCAUCAAUUUUCCAUGCUUAUGGUCAUGAAUGCUUGACAUUACCAUGUCUUUGCGUUAACAAAAAAGAAAUUUCAUGGCUUAAGUUUUCACUAGAAGAACAGGGAAAGCGUGAAAAGCCAGCCAAAUUACAGAGUGCUGCACUAUCCUUUGUUCAACAGCAAGAUUUUCUUGUGGGGAAAUUUGUAUUGUUUGUUUAUUAGCUAGAAGUUUACAGGAAACCAGAAAUCAUAAACGUGUCUUCUGUUUUAACUGUAUACUGCUUUGCAUCUGAAGGACAGCUUAUUAGAUUUCAGGGUAUUAAUGGAAUGAAAUAUAUAUAUUUAAUACAAUGCUUUAUCUUUGCUUUGUGUAUUUGAGAAAGUAGGUAAAUAUUUAC
rnacentral:lncRNA from 1 species